UGUUUCGGCUAGGGGGCCAUCCCGGCUUACCAACCCGAUGCAAACUGCGAAUACCGGAGAAUGUUAUCACGGGAGACACACGGCGGGUGCUAACGUCCGUCGUGAAGAGGGAAACAACCCAGACCGCCAGCUAAGGUCCCAAAGUCAUGGUUAAGUGGGAAACGAUGUGGGAAGGCCCAGACAGCCAGGAUGUUGGCUUAGAAGCAGCCAUCAUUUAAAGAAAGCGUAAUAGCUCACUGGUCGAGUCGGCCUGCGCGGAAGAUGUAACGGGGCUAAACCAUGCACCGAAGCUGCGGCAGCGACACUUUAGUGUUGUUGGGUAGGGGAGCGUUCUGUAAGCCGUUGAAGGUGUCCUGUGAGGG
rnacentral:rRNA from 1 species